UGGGGAAUCUUGCACAAUGGGCGAAAGCCUGAUGCAGCGACGCCGCGUGCGGGAUGAAGGCCUUCGGGUUGUAAACCGCUUUCAGCAGGGACGAGGCCGCAAGGUGACGGUACCUGCAGAAGAAGCCCCGGCUAACUACGUGCCAGCAGCCGCGGUAAUACGUAGGGGGCAAGCGUUAUCCGGAUUCAUUGGGCGUAAAGCGCGCGUAGGCGGUCUGUUAGGUCAGGAGUCAAAUCUGGGGGCUCAACCCCUAUCCGCUCCUGAUACCGGCAGGCUUGAGUCUGGUAGGGGAAGGCGGAAUUCCAAGUGUAACGGUGAAAUGCGCAGAUAUUUGGAAGAACACCGGUGGCGAAGGCGGCCUUCUGGGCCACGACUGACGCUGAGGAGCGAAAGCUAGGGGAGCGAACAGG
rnacentral:rRNA from 1 species